GAUAUCUUGAUCAUCAGCAGUAGUACUUUGGUCAUAUUUUAGAUGUAUAACAGCUAUUUUUAGGAAGAAAUGUGUCAUUUAACCACAUCUUAAGCAAUUUAUUUUAUUAUUGAUGUAGAUAUAAGAAUCAUAAAUAUUUUAAUAUAUAGGAUAUGACAUACGAGGAUUGAGAGGGUAAGCACUCAGCAAGACGUGUGGAAGUGUUAGAGAGGAAGAGCUUUCUUCAACUUUUGUUUGCAUGUAUAGGUUGUCAACAGGUAGACAUAAGAAAAAGAAAUAUAUAGGGAAUAAAAAUGAGGAAAGGGUCCUACUCCAUUGAUGAAUCAUUCACACCAUGAAUGUGACACUUAACACCGAACUUCACCG
rnacentral:lncRNA from 1 species